AGUGAACGCUGGCGGUAGGCCUAACACAUGCGAGUCGAACGGCAGCACAGUAAGAGCUUGCUCUUACGGGUGGCGAGUGGCGGACGGGUGAGGAAUACAUCGGAACCUACUUUUUCGUGGGGGAUAACGUAGGGAAACUUACGCUAAUACCGCAUACGGCCUACGGGUGAAAGCAGGGGAUCUUCGGACCUUGCGCGAUUGAAUGAGCCGAUGUCGGAUUAGCUAGUUGGCGGGGUAAAGGCCCACCAAGGCGACGAUCCGUAGCUGGUCUGAGAGGAUGAUCGGCCACACUGGAACUGGAACACGGUCCAGACUCCUACGGGAGGCAGCAGUGGGGAAUAUUGGACAAUGGGCGCAAGCCUGAUCCAGCCAUACCGCGUGGGUGAAGAAGGCCUUCGGGUUGUAAAGCCCUUUUGUUGGGAAAGAAAAGCAGCAGGCUAAUACCCCGCUGUUCUGACGGUACCCAAAGAAUAAGCACCGGCUAACUUCGUG
rnacentral:rRNA from 1 species